rnacentral:rRNA from 1 species
GAUGAACGCUGGCGGCGUGCCUAAUACAUGCAAGUCGAGCGAACAGACGAGGAGCUUGCUCCUCUGACGUUAGCGGCGGACGGGUGAGUAACACGUGGAUAACCUACCUAUAAGACUGGGAUAACUUCGGGAAACCGGAGCUAAUACCGGAUAAUAUAUUGAACCGCAUGGUUCAAUAGUGAAAGACGGUUUUGCUGUCACUUAUAGAUGGAUCCGCGCCGCAUUAGCUAGUUGGUAAGGUAACGGCUUACCAAGGCAACGAUGCGUAGCCGACCUGAGAGGGUGAUCGGCAACACUGGAACUGAGACACGGUCAAGACUCCUACGGGAGGCAGCAGUAGGGAAACUUCCGCAAUGGGCGAAAGCCUGACGGAGCAACGCCGCGUGAGUGAAGAAGGUCUUCGGAUCGUAAAACUCUGUUAUUAGGGAAGAACAAAUGUGUAAGUAACUAUGCACGUCUUGACGGUACCUAAUCAGAAAGCCACGGCUAACUACGUG